AACUCCUCUUACUUCUCUCUCCCCUCCCCCAAGAAAGAAGACUGCUUCAUACAGGGAGGGUGGUAGAGCAGAAAAUGGAAUCGUCGUGAAGGUUAUGUGCCAGAUCUCAUUUUGCUGAGAGGCACAAGAGCAGGCAGUACAGUGUAUUCAUAUUCAUAUCUUUAGGCCAAGGACUGCCACAUAGUGGUGAAUGCUAGAGAGAGACAGAGAACUGAAGGCUGCACUUUAAAAAAAAAAAAGAGUUCCAGAUGUACCAGGAAAGUGCUUCCUCAUGUGACCUUAUAGAAAUACUGGAUCAAAGCAGACAAAUUCGGAGGAGAGAAACCCCACAGAGCAGGACUUCCUGGUGGUAUAGUGGCAAGGGGGGCCUGGGUUCAAUCCCUGGUCAGAAAACUAGAUCCCACGUCCUGCAACUAACACCUGAUGCAGCCAAAUGAAUAAAAAAUAAGUUUUUGUUUUUGUUUAAGAAAAAGAAACCCCACAGAACAACCACACGUGAAUUCCUCAUCUGGUCACCAAGGAACAAGCCCAAUCCUUUUCUUACUAAAAGCUACAUUUUGGACAUUUGAAAUAAAAACUUUUAAUCAAAAA